rnacentral:rRNA from 1 species
UGGGGAAUCUUGCGCAAUGGGCGAAAGCCUGACGCAGCGACGCCGCGUGCGGGAAGAAGGCCUUCGGGUUGUAAACCGCUUUCAGGAGGGACGAAGCCACUCGGGUUAAUAGCCUAGAGGGUGACGGUACCUCCAGAAGAAGCCCCGGCUAACUACGUGCCAGCAGCCGCGGUAAUACGUAGGGGGCUAGCGUUGUCCGGAUUUAUUGGGCGUAAAGAGCGUGUAGGCGGCCAGGUAGGUCUGGUGUGAAAACUCGAGGCUUAACCUCGAGAUGUCAUCGGAAACCAUUUGGCUAGAGUCCGGAAGAGGAAAGUGGAAUUCCUGGUGUAGCGGUGAAAUGCGCAGAUAUCAGGAAGAACACCAAUGGCGAAAGCAGCUUUCUGGGACGGUACUGACGCUGAGACGCGAAAGCGUGGGGAGCGAACAGG